UUUUCAGGGCCCAGUGUGAAAUGAAAAUGUGGGGCCUCUCAUUUGAAAAGUAGUAAGAAUUUCAAGACAGUGAUAGUAGAAUAGUAAACUAAGCACAGAGGCCUACUACGUGUGUGGUCCCGGACAAUGGCACCAGUCACCUGUCCAUGAAGCUGGCUCAGGUCAGUACUGCUCACGACCAUCUCCCCUACUUGGCACAUAGAAGGUUCCUGAUAAAUGUUUGUCAUCAGAUCAUGCAGAAGCUGUCUGACAUGCUCCUCUUCCUUUGUGCCAUCCAUCUCCCAUCAUGUCAAGCCAAGAAACAUGAUUCCGCUCUGCUCAUUCCUUUGCAACCAGCUUUCUUUAUAGGCUAGAAACUUCUCCAGCAGCCUCAUCCAGAGCCUCAAGAUUGAGAUUUCUCAGAAGGUUCAGCUGAGAAAUGUAUUUUUAUGUUUCCUUAAAGGAGACUCCAGUGCAUCCUUCAGUGAACUGUUCUUAAAGAAGAGGGAAAAAUCAAUGCUUUCAGAUAGCAUUACCUUGCCCUGAAUAAUCCUGAAGCUGUCCAUGACUUACUGUAGAGGGGAUAAUUGAAGUGAGGAUAAACUGCACACCAUUUCAAAGUCUACUAAAUUGAAACCGUUCUUUUUGUUGACACAUGCUUGGGAAGCUGUAGAUAAUGUGAUUUAAAAUAAAUACACUGGCCCAGUAUACUUAUAUAAUUGAAAUAAAUAUGGAAUAACCCAUAAAGUCCACAGGCAGUUGGGGAAAUUAACCCUUUGUGUGCCAGGCUCAGGACACCUGCACAAGGAGGCGGAUGUGGUGCUGAAUAAAUUGGGGGGAGACAGGAGGGUCUGUACCUUCGAAUGAGACAGACACUUCUGAAUGUUAAGUUUGGAGAGACUUGGCCUGAGUUUCAGGAGGGAAUUCUUGCCAGGUGGUGGAUCCUCUCUUGAUUCUCCCACCAUGUAGUGCUGGCGAGUCCAGAUUAAGGGCUCCUGGUGCCUCAGGACAGCAGCUGCAGUGAAUUUUAGAAAGAGGAAGAGAGCCAAGAAUCCAUUUUCCUUCCUCUGAUGGUUCCCAGGGAAUGGGACAAAAAGGAGCAAAACCCCCAAAGCUGUAUUAAAAUGGCUUUGUCAGCUCCCUCUUGAGCAAUCUUUGAACGUGUCAUUUCUCAGCCAGGAUGUCCCUGAAGACCCAAGGGAACCACCUUGGUUUCCACCAGAGAAGCAGAGCACCCGUGAGUGACAGGACAGGUUUGGAUGGAGGUUGGGUCCUUGGUGAUCACAGUUCACGGGAGUCCCUGAAGGCGUGUUGCUCUGUGCCUGGUCCUGAAGUCUGCCAUCACAAAGGGAAGAUGGGUGUGACAUGAGGAUGAAUAAAGCCAGAAUGGAGCCAGAAGAACAUUCUGGAAGGUUGAGGAAGACUCAGACCUGUGUUCUGGUUCUCAUGGCGCCCACAUGGGUCUCUCACAACUUCCAGCAUCACUGAAUUGAGUCCCCUGCAGGAGAACACAAGUCUGAUCCAGGAAUCAGAAGCUGAGGGGAGAGCUGAUGGGAGGAGCUGCAGGCCCCGCUGCUAAGACACACCCUAAAGCCACCCUGAAGGCAGCCAUCCAGCGUGAGCUACAACAGCACCUGCUUCCACUUUGAUGGAAACAGUGUGGCCAUUCACUUCCAUCUUCCAGAUCUCACACCGGUGUGGCUCAAGGCCUCUCCUGACCCAGAGCCGCACACGGUAAGGAAACCUGGAAAACAGUUCCAGCUAAGCUAAGUGUGAUACAAAUCCCGGAGCGACGACACCAAGUGGCAUGCCAGAGGCAGGAAAUGUUUCCUCAGCAUUCUUGUGUACGAUUUCUGUGUCUGUCACUUUUCUGUUGAAGAUGUAAUCUCACUCCAAGAAGGCAUGACUGAACUACACAGCGCUAGCUUUGGAUAGAACUGGAAAUUGCUCUGAACCAAGAGCCAUUUUCUGCCCAAGCAACAUUUGGCAAUUCUGAAGCCAUUUCUGGAUGUCACACCUGGGAGUGAACUACAGAAAGGACUGUGUGGCAAAAUGCUUGGUCUGGUACUUCCUCUCCUCACUUGGGAUGCUCUGAAGAAAUGUGUAGGAUUUUGAACCAUUCUAACCCUGGAAGAAAGCAUGCGUGUGAAACUAAGCCUGAAGACACGUGCGUGAAAACAGCACAGCACCUGCCCAGAGGAACAUUUUGGAUCUACACAGCCAGUGCCCAGAUCUAUGAAACCCAAGAGAAUGAAUUGAAAGACUAUUGGAAAAAAAAUAAAUGCGACCUCAAUAAAAGUUGGAAGAGCUGAAAUUCCUACUCCAGGAAAGAAACCUCUUGUAAGAAACCGUGAAACCAGAGAAAGUCCCGACUUCUGUGUGGCCAGCCAGGGGGGAGUGACGGACUCACCGUAUGUGGAAAAUUCUGCUGAGACCUUCUAGUCCAAUAAAGUCCUAAAGGAAUCUGCGGUACAUAACCCAGCAUCAGAGCAGCGCCCUGGUUGAAGUAAAGGAGGCAGAUCUGGACCUCAAACCAUCUGAAGAACACCUGGGGUGUAUUAAACCUCAAAAGUGUUUUAGAAAUCUAUCCAGAGAGUCAUCCAUGCAAUACUUGCUGAGUGCUGCCCAGGAUAUGCCCCCUUUGGGGUGAGAGAAAGCACCCUCUUGCUCCCGUGGAGACCUAGCUGAAACUGACAGAUCUCAUAAACGAACGUGAAGUGUCAUUGGCGACAGUGCUACAAAGGACAGAAGGAGCAAAAUCAGAGCACAGGUCAUGAUUAACUUCCUGGCAAAUUGCAGCAUGCCUGCCCCAGCUGGAGGUAGAUGAAGAAUCCUGUUUUUAAAAGCCCUGAGAGAUCUUGAAUUUAAUUAAAUGAGCAUUUUGCGCCAUCCCUGAAGAAACAAAACAAACCACCCAGUUUCUGAACUUCUGAGGACCUGGAGCCUCCUUCUCUGCCGUGUUCAGAAGCCGAGUGAGUUCCACCCCCCAGGAGCUGGUGAAGUAACCACCGCCCUGCCUACAAGCCGCCCCGCCACUGAGGCCUUUUCCCGCUUGGCCUGAGGGUGGGCACG